GCCAGAGAUGUUCAGCCUCGGUAAAAGCCCAGAGGCUGGAGCGGGAGUCUGCCUGACCGUGACUAUGGGGUCCAGCUGACAGCUUCCAGGGACAGCUUCAGCAUCAGUCCCUCAACUUCUGGCACAUUCAGAGGAGCAAGAUAUUAGGGUCCAUGUGAAAUGAGGCCGUUCCUCUCCACAGACCGGCAAUGAUGUGGAGACAAAGCCUUAGCCACAAGUGGUCUGGAAUGUUACUUUGCCAGCUAAAGGCCACCAGUCGGAUUUCAACAAUCUGCAGGAGAUGGUCCCGAUCAGCCCCAUUGUCUGUCAUACAAACUAGAACUUGGGUCAGACCAGGAGGUUCCUUCAGAUUGGGAUCCAUUUGCUACCGUCCAGUUUUCCAUG
rnacentral:lncRNA from 1 species